AUGCAGAAAUAUUUAAACUCAUAAUAAUUUUUGUGUUUCAGAUAAUAAUAAUAAUCCAUUUCAAAUAUACUUUGUUCCAUAAAAAUUGUCCGUAUUAUUAAUAAAGAAUAAUAAUAUUAUUUAAUUGUAUUAGGUGGAAAUGGACAAUGUGGAAAUUAUAAUGGUCUAAUCUCGUGAUUUAUAAUUUGUAAAAACUGUAAAUACUGUGAUGGAAUAUUUAAAACGACUCUGGUGAAAAAAGAAAAUUCAUGAAUCUAAGCACAUGUGAACUUAUUACGAACACAAUUGCUCAAUUUUUUUCUGUAGAAGAUAAAGUCGAGAUAAGAUCCGAGAUAUCGUAUGGAUUUGUUCAAUUGCCAUUAAUAAAUUUGUAAUAAUUUGUAAUGAAAUGACAACAUUCGUUUCAUUAAAAUCCACUGCGUUAUGUUUUCUUGUGAAAAUGGUGAAGGAAGUUUUGACUCUAGUCUUCUUAAAUAUGAAAAAAUUCAUCCAAUAUGCACACUGUCAUUGCACAUACGUAAAUUUUAAGAUGGGCAAUUUUAAGAUGUUAUGCAGAAGCACAAUCGUUAACUUUAAGGCUAUUCUAUUCUAUCAUCUUUAAACGUAAUGAAACGAAGCAAGAAAUUUGGUUAUCAGAUAUAGGAACUUUUGGUCCUUCGUUACAACAUGUAUCUAAAAAUAUAAUGACAGUAAAAUACUAAGCUUGGAUUAAACAUCCAUCAGGUUAAAA
rnacentral:lncRNA from 1 species